rfam:Ornithorhynchus anatinus chromosome 3, whole genome shotgun sequence.
CCCCUCUCAGGGUUGCACCUGGAGAGUUCUCAGUAUUCUACCAGACUUAACUACAGGAGAGAGCACGAGGCAGAGGUCUAUCCAUUCCAUUCCUAGCUUGGGCAGUGGCUAGCGAGUGGAAGGCAAUCUGCUACAAGU